UACGUAGGGCGCGAGCGUUGUCCGGAAUUAUUGGGCGUAAAGAGCUCGUAGGCGGUUUGUCGCGUCGGUUGUGAAAACCCAAGGCUCAACCUUGGGCCUGCAAUCGAUACGGGCAGACUAGAGUACUGCAGGGGAGACUGGAAUUCCUGGUGUAGCGGUGGAAUGCGCAGAUAUCAGGAGGAACACCGGUGGCGAAGGCGGGUCUCUGGGCAGUAACUGACGCUGAGGAGCGAAAGCGUGGGGAGCGAACAGG
rnacentral:rRNA from 1 species